CAGUAAAAUAUUGAUAAACUAGUAAUAUUUUUUACAUUAUACUAAACACUUCCUCGAAUCUUUUGUCUGCGCGAAAUGGACGUUGACAGAUGUGGAGGGGGUUUAAUCUGGGGUGAGACGGAUCGAUCAAUAACUCUAUAUUAAUGAGCGUGGCGCGAGCUGCAUUGGGAGACUGGAACAUAAUUGGAAGUCAGGGAAAAUGGCCGAAAGUUCCGAACCGAAUAUAUCCGCCUCAUCGCUGAAGCCAGUUGAUGUGAGCCCCAUGUGCAGCGGAGGUAUGAAGUCCCCAACAGACGACCCACCCGACUCGGAGAAUACAGCAGAAUAUCAAAUAGUGGCGGCCAUAGAUUUUGGUACAACGUUUAGCGGCUAUGCGUAUUCAUUCGCCUCUAACAAAGACGCGAUACAUGUUAACAAGAACUGGGGCCAAACUCAGGGAUUUCUUUUGCAUAAAACUCCCACCUGCCUUUUGCUUAAAUCCGACGGUCAGUUUGAAGCAUUUGGGUUUGAAGCUGUGUCGAGGUAUAACGAUCUCGCCGAGGAUGAGGCCGGGGAUUAUUACUACUUUGACAGGUUCAAGAUGAAGCUGUACGACAAUAAGGAGCUGAAUGCAGACAUCACGCUGAAGGAUGCUAAUGGCAAGAGUCAGCUUGCUGUGGAUGUGUUCGCACACUCCCUCAACUUCAUGAAGAAACACAUGCUACGUGCUAUCGGGGCUCACCUGGGUUACGACCCCCACCCCGACACCGUCCGCUGGGUGCUCACCGUCCCCGCCAUCUGGGACGAGAACGCCAAGCAGUUCAUGAGGGAGGCAGCGUACAGGGGUUCUCUGAUCCUGACGCCCCACAGUGAGCAGCUGGUGAUGGCCCUAGAGCCCGAGGCCGCUUCCCUGCACUGCCGCAACCUCCCUGCUACAGACUUCGUCGGUUACAAGGACACUGCACAGGCAUCCAACCCUUGCUUCGAGCCCGGCACCAAGUACCUCGUCGUGGAUGCUGGAGGUGGAACUAUUGAUUGUGUGGCCCACAAGAUCCGAAAGGACGGGAGGAUCCGGGAACUGUUCCGCGCUACUGGUGGGGCCUGGGGUGGCACCAUCAUAGACAAGCAGUUCCUGAAUCUUCUCCACAGAAUCUUCGGCAAAGACUUCAUCACUGAGUUCCAGCAGAAUUACCCCAAGGAUUUUGUGGAACUUCUGCAGGACUUUGAGAUCAAGAAGCGAGGAGAGUGUGAUAGUAUCCGUGUGUCUCUGCCUUACAACUUCUGUAACUUCAAACACAAUCGUGUCAGUGUACAACAAGCUAUCAAAACAUUCGCUGCCGACAAUAACAAUGAAGUCAAAUUCUCGUCUGGGAAGCUGGUGUUGACGUCGGCAGUCGUGACGUCACUGUUUGCCGAUGCCUUAGCACAGAUUAAAGACCAUGUAGACCAGCUUCUCCAGAAGCCAAAGACCAAAGACUUGCAUUACAUCUUCCUGGUGGGUGGCUUUGCAGAAUCCAGUCGUUUGCAACAAGCUCUGAAAACUCAUUUUAGCGAAAGGGUGACGUGCCUUGUUCCAGAUGAAGCUAGUCUUGCAGUUGUUAGGGGAGCAGUAGCAUUCGGGCACGAUCCUAGUUCAAUAUGGCAGAGGAUCUGUCGUUUCACGUACGGUGUGGGGUCAUACUUGCCGUACGAGGAAGGGGUGCACCGAGAGGACCUCCGAGUCGUCUCAGACGGUGUCACCCUCUGUAAGAACAUAUUACAGACGUGGGCCGAAGCUGGAGAGACGAUUGGCCACAAUGAGAUAUGGAGGGAAACAUACACUCCCAUUAUAACCAACCAGAAAGGAAUUAUUUUCGAGUUCUUCCGAUCUUCUAAGAGACAUGUGAAAUACACGGAUGAGGCCGGGGUUGAGAAAUGUGGGUCACUGAUAGUCCGCAUGCCAGAUCUAACUGGGGACAAAGAGAGAGCGGUGGACCUCGAGGUCAUAUUCGGUGGAACGGAGAUCAAGGUCGUGGGAUACGAUCACACCAGUACAAAUAAGUAUGAGACAUUGAUAGACUUCCUGUCAUCCUAACUUUCUCUCCUGAAAACUGUUUGCCAGUUUGACAUAAAAACAUGAAUGUACAGAAAUAUUCUCUCCUCCAUGUUAGAAGAGGCAGGUGGACCAACAUGGAACGUCAGCUCCAACUCCAGCUUGUCAGAUGCUUCAAUGAAAGACAGAGGAGUCCAUUCAUACAUGGGGUGUAUAUUUUGCAGGAGUUGUCUCCCUUCAUCGACAGUGUUGGAAGGGACUAUCUGUGCGCUACUCCACAAACUGGCUGUAUAUAAGAUUUGUCUUCAUUUAUAUUUUGUACACUAAGUGUUCUAUGAUUAUUUUGUACAUAAUCACAGUUUGAGCUGUAAUUCACAGUAUGACAAAUAUCGACUUCUGAACAUGUUCUUCAAAAGCCUGAGGUCAUCACUUUUUAUGUUGGAUCACAGAUCUACCGACCAUAUCUUGAUCAAAUCAGAAAAUUAAAAAAUAAUACCAUCCCCCACACAUGCGAAAAUAUUUGAGACUACUCGACAUUAAACAAAAAACAUCACAGUUUCACAAGUCAUAUGAUGCUCAGUUACCUUAAACUUUUUCUUCCAAAUUUUGAAUGCAUUUUGCACACUUUUAAAACUUUGAAAAUCAGGUCCACAAGUAGGCCCAACUGUGCAGAGUUAUACCCCUUGCCAGAAACCCCCAUCAUGGGUUUGAAUCCCAGUUUCCCCCUGACUGUUGUUUCUAGGUUUGCCAUCACCAUGGUAAUGGGUGGAGUUCACCAAAGUGAUACAGUGUAAGAUAGGCAUCACUUCAGACAUUCCUCCCACGUGAAUCUGACAUGCUGUGAUAUACCAUAUUCAACGUAAUAAGCGCCCAAAAUAAGAAAUAGUGGGCUCUUAUUAGAAUAUAAUUUUGGUGAAAGGGUUGAAAGAUCGUAAAUUUCCUGGUUUAUGCUGAUAGCCAGAAAUGAUACAAAAGAAAAGUCUGUGCAUAUUUUACAUUUUUCAAGAAUUUAAUCCCCGUAAUUAAGGGUGCAUAUAACACACGAGUGCGUAUUAUACAUGAAUAAUUCAGUCUUGUGUACAUGGAUCAAUCGGAAGGGUGCUAAUUGGGAUUGUUCACAAGCCCAUAUAUCAGCAAAUAUCGCCGUGGGCACUUAUUAGAGUUGGGCGCUUAUUACGUCAAAUACAGUAAACUGCUGAAAGCAGCUUUAAACCCACCUCACUAUCCCAGAGGUACUUAAACUGUGGCAGAAGUACAGGUAAUUUCUUUUCUGAUUUUUCCUCCUCUGACUUCUGGCAUAAAAAAAUCUGUGAUCUAACAAAUAUAAACAAGGUCUAAUGUUUUUAAUGUGUUCCACAUGAUGAACGCUUCAGUGUUCCGCUGCAACAGUUAAGGAGCUGUACAUGUCAUACUGUCACUGACAACUCACCUGUUUAUUAAAGGUUGUAUGUUACCUGUGAUGGCCUUGUUCUAUGCAAGAUGUUAGUACCAUAUUAAACCUAAUAACUGACAGAGUAAAGUCACGCGACAAAUUCAAUAUAGUGGGUGAUAGUGAGAGCAACAUUUGUUUCUACACAGUGAGGUCCAGCCACCCUAGGACUAGCCAUUGUGACCAUACAAUCCCCUAUUUGAGUGACUCUUACAAAACGCAUAGAUGCGAGAACUUACGCAGCCUUGGGGUCGUCCUAUAGGGGAUGGACAAGGUGAGAGGGGGCAUUAAUUAAUGUACUGUGUACCGAGUUAUUUUUACAUUACCAUCAUACAGCGGCAUCAAUACCAGGCACCAGUGAACCCAUAGGAUUCAAACCAGUCUUGUCAGGGAUCGAAUGCACUGCCCUGUUGACUACUGAGGUUUUCCUGAACAUCCCAUGUAGGAGAGGUUUUAUGGAUGCUGCUUCUGAAGUUAUAGUUUCUAAAUCUAUUUGUAUCUGAAUGUAUAUCAUGAUACAUAUUGAUGCAUUUCCAGUCAAUCCAGGUAUCAUUUAUUAGGUUUAACAUGGUACCUGUGUAACUGUCGUCUUCUCUUGCAGGGUGUUGUCCUUGGAGAUUUGUGUAAAUUUAAACAUUCCUCUUGUCAAUAAAUGUUCAUAAACAGAAUUCCUGUAACGUUUGCAUUGUUGUGUUCUGGAUUAAAAAAUAAUUACUUUGAACAAAA
rnacentral:misc_RNA from 1 species